GCCUUUUAAAGUGCUCUCGACACUAUCUACUGUAUCGUCACAAUGAACACGUGUCUGUCAUAUUUGUGCACGAUCGUAUUUUUAAAUGGACAAAUGUACACAAGAAUGUUUUGGGAAAUUAAAACCCAGUGGCAUGGGGUCAAGGUCUUGGAAACUGACAAGCCGGAAGUCAUUUACUUGUAUCUUAAUAUAUAAACACAUAUACGUAUAUUUAUCUGUCAAUACGGAACUUGUUACGAAAAUUCUUCGAUGUCUAUGACCACGUUCUACGUCACAAUAUUUAUUACAAUCAACAUUCAUUUAAAACUUUCAAGGAUUAUUUUUUCAAGAAUUUUUCAUGGAUUAUUCAACGACGCGUUGAUCCAUUAUUUAAACAAUGAGGAUCAUUUAGCGAUCGCUGUUCAUGUGAGUGGAUGGAAAGCUUAUAAAGUUUUUGAAUAUUUAAAUUAAAAAACAAUUGUGAUGUAAAUAAAGUGAUGUAUAAAUACGA